GAUGUCUGUCUCCUUAUAUUAACAGAAAAGAAAAGAACUGUAACCCAGGUGUGAACCCAAAGCCUGUAGCAAUAAUUGACAGCAAUAACCAUACCUUUUUGUCUCGAGGUCACUGGCAAGCAUGUAACAAGAACUGACUCAGAACUUGUUGGUGCCCUGGCAGGCAGCUAAACAGCAAAUGGCAUUGGAAGAAUUUCUGCUGGACCAGCCCUGACACUCUCCAGAAGAGCUUUGGCCAUGAACCAAGUGAACCCUCAGGACUUGUUCUGCUCAUUUCUUCUGGAAAGGGACAUGGAAUGAGCAUCUUUACAGUUGCUGAGUAAAUCCUGGAAGGGGUGGGAAGAGUUUGGUACUGAUGUGUAAAGCAGCAUUAACAGAAAAGAAGGAGCUGCAUUAGCAUAAGAAUUCCCUUGCUGGCAGCAGCUGUUCCCACCCCAGGCAGGACCUUCCUCAUGACCCUGAGAUUGGCUCAGGCGCUUGGAGCAGGGUGCUAAGAAGGCCAAGAUUCUGAAUUCAGUCCCCACAUGGGCCAAGCACUUACCACAGUUUGACUUAAUGAUCCUCCUGGCUCUUUCCAACUCAGAAUCUCCUGUGCUCUGGAAAUAAAAAGUAAACCGUUUUCACUGGCUUUUUAAA